GUUGAAUCCGUCUUUAAAUUUUCACUGCCGUGAUUUAAAACCAGAACUUCGUCGGGAUAGGAUAGCUUGAAAACCAACUUGGUAUAAAUGAAAAUUGCAUUCUACAAUUAGAGGACAAACGACAAACACAAGAAACGCACAGAUGUUUAUAAAGCAAUAACCAGGGAAAGGCUUAAUUAAGGGGACUGUGUUUCUAUUAAUAAAAAGGAGAUGUUGGAAGAAACAUUUUUAACUUA